rnacentral:rRNA from 1 species
CUACCUAUAAGGACUGGGAUAACUUCGGGAAACCGGAGCUAAUACCGGAUGAUAUUUUGAACCGCAUGGUUCAAAAGUGAAAGACGGUCUUGCUGUCACUUAUAGAUGGAUCCGCGCUGCAUUAGCUAGUUGGUAAGGUAACGGCUUACCAAGGCAACGAUGCAUAGCCGACCUGAGAGGGUGAUCGGCCACACUGGAACUGAGACACGGUCCAG